CGCGUAGGUGGUCUGUCAAGUCGGGGGUGAAAUCUUUCGGCUCAACCGGAAAACUGCCUUCGAUACUGACAGGCUAGAGGGAGAUAGGGGUUGCGGGAACUACCAGUGGAGCGGUGAAAUGCGUUGAUAUUGGUAGGAACGCCGGUGGCGAAAGCGCGCAACUGGACCUCUUCUGACACUGAGGCGCGAAAGCUAGGGGAGGCAAACG
rnacentral:rRNA from 1 species